UUGAACGCUGGCGGCAUGCUUUACACCUGCCAGUCGAACGGUAACAGGCCUUCGGGUGCUGACGAGUGGCGAACGGGUGAGUAAUGCAUCGGAACGUACCCAGAGGUGGGGGAUAACGCAGCGAAAGCUGUGCUAAUACCGCAUGUGAUCUGAGGAUGAAAGCGGGGGACCGAGCAGCAAUGUUUGGCCUCGCGCCUUUGGAGCGGCCGAUGUCGGAUUAGCUAGUUGGUGGGGUAAAGGCCUACCAAGGCGACGAUCCGUAGCUGGUCUGAGAGGACGACCAGCCACACUGGGACUGAGACACGGCCCAGACUCCUACGGGAGGCAGCAGUGGGGAAUUUUGGACAAUGGGCGCAAGCCUGAUCCAGCAAUGCCGCGUGCGGGAAGAAGGCCUUCGGGUUGUAAACCGCUUUUGGCAGGAACGAAACGGUGUCCGCUAAUACCGGGCGCUAAUGACGGUACCUGCAGAAUAAGCACCGGCUAACUACGUG
rnacentral:rRNA from 1 species